UACGUAGGUGGCAAGCGUUGUCCGGAAUUAUUGGGCGUAAAGCGCGCGCAGGCGGUCUUUUUAAGUCUGAUGUGAAAGCCCCCGGCUCAACCGGGGAGGGUCAUUGGAAACUGGGAGACUUGAGUGCAGAAGAGAAGAGUGGAAUUCCACGUGUAGCGGUGAAAUGCGUAGAGAUGUGGAGGAACACCAGUGGCGAAGGCGACUCUUUGGUCUGUAACUGACGCUGAGGCGCGAAAGCGUGGGGGAGCAAACAGG
rnacentral:rRNA from 1 species